GAUGAGAUUUCCCAUCACGUAAGUGAGUAAGAUCCCUAGAAGAUGACUAGGUAGAUAGGUCAGAGAUGGAAGCAUGGCGACAUGUGGAGUUGACUGAUACUAAUCGAUCGAGGACUUAACCAC
rnacentral:ncRNA from 1 species